AGUUCUGUACUUUAACUAAAAGAUUUGAUUUGCAAUCAACCAUUGAGUUCCUUAUAUCACUCUAGAACUG
rnacentral:tRNA from 1 species